rnacentral:rRNA from 1 species
AGAGUGAACGCUGGCGGCAGGCCUAACACAUGCAAGUCGAACGGCAGCACAGAGGAGCCUGCUCCUUGGGUGGCGAGUGGCGGACGGGUGAGGAAUACAUCGGAAUCUGCCUUAUCGAGGGGGAUAACGUAGGGAAACUUACGCUAAUACCGCAUACGACCUACGGGUGAAAGCGGAGGACCUUCGGGCUUCGCGCGAUAAGAUGAGCCGAUGUCGGAUUAGCUAGUUGGCGGGGUAAAGGCCCACCAAGGCUACGAUCCGUAGCUGGUCUGAGAGGAUGAUCAGCCACACUGGAACUGAGACACGGUCCAGAC